rnacentral:rRNA from 1 species
AGCUCCCCGAGUGGUGAGGAUGUUUAUUGGGCCUAAAGCGUUCGUAGCCGGUUUGGUAAGUCUCCCGUCAAAUCUACCGACUUAAUCGGUAGGCUGCGGGAAAUACUGCUAGACUAGGAGGCGGGAGAGGUCGGCGGUAGUCCCGGGGUAGGGGUAAAAUCCUAUAAUCCUGGGAGGACCACCAGUGGCGAAGGCGGCCGACCAGAACGCGCUCGACGGUGAGGGACGAAAGCUGGGGGAGCGAACCGGAUUAGAUACCCGAGUAGUCC